rnacentral:misc_RNA from 1 species
UGGCUAUCAACGACAUGCUGAACCCCUGCGUUGACUCCCACACGCGUGGGAUUUCAGCACUUGAGGCGCGCUCGGUAUCGAGGAGGGCUUUGCCAGCGGCAGGAACGGCACAGCUAUGAUCAGCUAGAUGCUCGCGCUCUCCUCGUCAUCUAUUAGCGCCGCCUCCCCACUGUUGUGCACAGGUGCUGGUUUUCUGUGCUGUUCUGUGCACUACGAGUUGAAGCUGUUUUCCGCAUUUCGUUUUUCGUGGCUUUGGUCAUGCUCAUCGCUGCAUUCGCAUGCUCUCGAUUUAGUUUUUCUGUCCAUGGGUCUUUUUGUUAGGAAGAUUCGUACGAGACGUACUUUACGUGUCCGCUUGUAGCCCUGACGACGAGUACUAGGGUCGCGAUCUACGCUCGCUGUCCAGGAGCUCCCCCUUCUCUCUUUCUCUGGAGGCCGCCACGCUCCUCACCGUGCGUCCAUCUCUCUCACGCACUCUGCCACUAUUUUGCAUCGCUCACGUGAAGUAAUACGAGGUGCCCGCCGUGCGCUCUCGCACGCUAACCGCUGCGUACGGGCGCUCGUCCCCCUCACGCACACACACACACACACACGUCCCUGCGCUGCGUGUGCUCUUCUACGCCUCAGCCCCCUUAAAAGGCGUUUAGGAAAGCAAUGGUGAAGAGGCGUCACCAAAAAGACGCAGGCCGGCGGCGUGCCUUCUUCGCGUCAUCGUCUUUCACCUUUUUUUUCUCCGCGGCAAAUCUACUAGACGCCCCCUUCACGAGUCCCGUGGCUGCCCCCCCCCCCGCUCCUUCCUUCGGUAUCUAACGUGGCAGGUCGGCGGGACGUCUAUGAUUCGGUGUAUCGUUUUUUGUUUUGGGUGCUGAGGGGGAAGCUGGCAUUUGUGUUGUUGUUACUCUGGAUGAGCUCUCGGUUUCUCUGGAGCUCGCCUCUGUGUUUACCAUUCUGCUUUCUGGGGGGUUGUUCUCUCCAUACCUCCCCGGCUUGGCUGCUUUUUGGGUGGCUUGUGGUUUCCCACGUGUCUCUUAGCGUCUUGUGUGGCUUGCUGGCACUGCACACAUCGCCUCCCAUCACCCCGGGAGGUGGGUAACACGUAUCAUGCGCAGCACACGAGCCUCCGUCUUUCUUUUCUUGGGAGGCGGAAGAGUCCCUCUUUUCUCUCCUUGUUUCGUGUUAUUCUGCUCGUCUCUUUAUUGUUGUGUUUUCGUGACGACGUCUGCAUGGCAGGCUGUGAGGUGGCCGGUGUUGUGUGUUUUGCCUGCGCGCUUGUGAGCAUCCUCGGCACACGUCACUGUUUCCUUGCUCAGGUGGUGCUUCUCUUUGUGAGGUAAGCAGAUAUGUGAGUCACUCUUUUCUUUUUUUUUGAGCAGGUGCGCGUGGGUUUGCUUGUGUGCCCUGCAUCUGAAGUGCUGGUGCGCCGAGUCCCGACGAGCUGGUCUUCUGCUACGACCGCCUAAUUAUGAAAGCGAAUCCGCUCCUUGACGUCCCCUCCCCGUAAGCUGGACACUGCUUGCCAGCCCAAGGCACGAGAACGAAAAAAAAGUAAAAGGAAAAGGAAGCACUGGCUUUCACGCUGUACAUGUGCGCAAUGUGCUACUCCGCCGGCCACAUCAUAUUCACCUUCGCUGCGAGGGGUGUCACUCUCGGGAGGUCUGUAAGCGAACGCUUCGGUCUCUCGAGGGUGCUGCCGUAGUGACUCUGCCCCUUCUCAACUCAGACUCCGACGCCCUUGCUUGCGUAGUGUCACUCGAUAGCGUACGCCUGACUUCACUCUCAGAGACCGCCAGUUCUUACUCCGCUGCUCCUUGCGUCUCUCCAACUCUCUGCCGCACCCACCUCUUUGCCUCCCGCGGCGUCUCUGACGUGUCUCUCUUGUGGGCUCG